UACGAAGGGGGCUAGCGUUGUUCGGAAUUACUGGGCGUAAAGGGCGCGUAGGCGGUGUGUCAAGUCAGGCGUGAAAGCCCCGGGCUCAACCUGGGAACAGCGCUUGAGACUGGCACGCUCGAGUUGGGAGAGGAUCGGUGGAAUUCCCAGUGUAGAAGGUGAAAUUCGUGAGAUAUUGGGAAGAACACCGGAUGGCGAAGGCA
rnacentral:rRNA from 1 species